UACGUAGGGUGCAAGCGUUAAUCGGAAUUACUGGGCGUAAAGCGUGCGCAGGCGGUUCUAUAAGACAGAUGUGAAAUCCCCGGGCUCAACCUGGGAACUGCAUUUGUGACUGUAGAGCUGGAGUACGGUAGAGGGGGAUGGAAUUCCGCGUGUAGCAGUGAAAUGCGUAGAUAUGCGGAGGAACACCGAUGGCGAAGGCAAUCCCCUGGACCUGUACUGACGCUCAUGCACGAAAAGCGUGGGGGAGCAAACAGG
rnacentral:rRNA from 1 species